rnacentral:rRNA from 1 species
UUGCCAUAUGCUUGUCUCAAAGAUUAAGCCAUGCAUGUCUAAGUAUAAGCAAUUUAUACAGUGAAACUGCGAAUGGCUCAUUAAAUCAGUUAUCGUUUAUUUGAUAGUGCUUUACUACUCGGAUAUCCGUGGUAAUUCUAGAGCUAAUACGUGCUAACAAUCCCGACUGUUUGGAAGGGAUGUACUUAUUAGAUAAAAAAUCAAUGCUUUCGAGCUUCUUGAUGAUUCAUAAUAAUUUUUCGAAUCGCAUGGCCUUGUGCUGGCGAUGGUUCAUUCAA